GAUCCCUGGCUCAGAUUGAACGCUGGCGGCAUGCUUUACACAUGCAAGUCGAACGGCAGCGGGGGCUUCGGCCUGCCGGCGAGUGGCGAACGGGUGAGUAAUGCAUCGGAACGUGCCCAUGUCGUGGGGGAUAACGUAGCGAAAGCUACGCUAAUACCGCAUACGUCCUGAGGGAGAAAGCGGGGGAUCUUUGGACCUCGCGCGAUUGGAGCGGCCGAUGUCGGAUUAGCUAGUAGGUGAG
rnacentral:rRNA from 1 species